CCCUUAGAUGUCCUGGGCCGCACGCGCGCUACACUGAUGCAUGCAACGAGUUUAUAACCUUGGCCUGAAAGGUCUGGGUAAUCUUUUGAACGUGCAUCGUGAUAGGGAUAGAUUAUUGCAAUUGUUAAUCUUGAACGAGGAAUUCCUAGUAAACGCGAGUCAUCAGCUCGCAUUGAUUACGUCCCUGCCCUUUGUACACACCGCCCGUCGCACCUACCGAUUGAAUGAUUCGGUGAAGAUCUCGGACUUCGAUAUUUAUUCUUUAUUGAGUUUAUAUUGUGGGAAGUUAUCUAAACCUCAUCAUUUAGAGGAAGGUGAAGUCGUAACA
rnacentral:rRNA from 1 species